rnacentral:sRNA from 1 species
UAGAAGGUACUUACUAGAAGUUGAGUAGUGCUCCGGUUAUUUCAAAAAACAUUACUCAACCUAUAAGGCCAUCUCCAAGGGAACUGCAAAACUUUAAAAUAGCGUGGGAAUGUUAACUUUUUCUCUCCAACCAAACUGUAUAAUUUACACUAUUAUAGUGUGAUUCCUUUUUUUUCAACAGUAUAUCACUAUAUUUGGUGUGUCACUGUAGACAACGGCAAAAGAUAGAAUAUUAUUAUUUUUU